rnacentral:rRNA from 1 species
UACAGAGGUCCCAAGCGUUGUUCGGAUUCACUGGGCGUAAAGGGUGCGUAGGCGGCCAGGUAAGUCUGCUGUGAAAUCCCGCAGCUCAACUGCGGAACUGCAUCGGAUACUAUCUGGCUAGAGGAAUGGAGGGGAGACUGGAAUUCUCGGUGUAGCAGUGAAAUGCGUAGAUAUCGAGAGGAACACCAGUGGCGAAGGCGAGUCUCUGGACAUUUCCUGACGCUGAGGCACGAAAGCCAGGGGAGCAAACGGG